rnacentral:rRNA from 1 species
GAUGAACGCUGGCGGCGUGCCUAAUACAUGCAAGUCGAGCGAACGGACGAGGAGCUUGCUUCUCUGACGUUAGCGGCGGACGGGUGAGUAACACGUGGAUAACCUACCUAUAAGACUGGGAUAACUUCGGGAAACCGGAGCUAAUACCGGAUAAUAUUUUGAACCGCAUGGUUCAAUAGUGAAAGACGGUCUUGCUGUCACUUAUAGAUGGAUCCGCGCUGCAUUAGCUAGUUGGUAAGGUAACGGCUUACCAAGGCAACGAUGCGUAGCCGACCUGAGAGGGUGAUCGGCCACACUGGAACUGAGACACGGUCCAGACUCCUACGGGAGGCAGCAGUAGGGAAUCUUCCGCAAUGGGCGAAAGCUUGACGGAGCAACGCCGCGUGAGUGAUGAAGGUCUUCGGAUCGUAAAACUCUGUUAUUAGGGAAGAACAAAUGUGUAAGUAACUGUGCACGUCUUGACGGUACCUAAUCAGAAAGCCACGGCUAACUACGUG